ensembl:snoRNA
AUCCUUUUGUAGUUCAUGAGCAUGAUGAUUGGGUGUUCACACAAAUAUGUGAAAUGUGCUGGCCUCAGACCUUCUUAGGACAUCAGCACAUGACUCUGCUGGGA